rfam:Candidatus Woesebacteria bacterium RIFCSPLOWO2_01_FTLL_44_14 rifcsplowo2_01_scaffold_2936, whole genome shotgun sequence.
GCUGGGAUAGCCAAGGUGGUCACGGCGGGGCUCUGAAGAAGCUCAGAUGUUGGUUCAACUCCAACUCCCAGCA